rnacentral:rRNA from 1 species
GCAAUCUACCUUUUACAGAGGGAUAGCCCAGAGAAAUUUGGAUUAAUACCUCAUAGUAUUAUUGAAUGGCAUCAUUUAAUAAUUAAAGUCACAACGGUAAAAGAUGAGCAUGCGUCCCAUUAGCUAGUUGGUAAGGUAACGGCUUACCAAGGCAACGAUGGGUAGGGGUCCUGAGAGGGAGAUCCCCCACACUGGUACUGAGACACGGACCAGACUCCUACGGGAGGCAGCAGUGAGGAAUAUUGGUCAAUGGGCGCAAGCCUGAUCCAGCCAUGCCGCGUGCAGGAUGACGGUCCUAUGGAUUGUAAACUGCUUUUAUACGAGAAGAAACACUCCUUCGUGAAGGAGCUUGACGGUAUCGUAAGAAUAAGGAUCGGCUAACUCCGUGCCAGCAGCCGCGGUAAUACGGAGGAUCCAAGCGUUAUCCGGAAUCAUUGGGUUUAAAGGGUCCGUAGGCGGUUUAAUAAGUCAGUGGUGAAAGCCCAUCGCUCAACGGUGGAACGGCCAUUGAUACUGUUAGACUUGAAUUAUUAGGAAGUAACUAGAAUAUGUAGUGUAGCGGUGAAAUGCUUAGAGAUUACAUGGAAUACCAAUUGCGAAGGCAGGUUACUACUAAUGGAUUGACGCUGAUGGACGAAAGCGUGGGUAGCGAACAGGAUUAGAUACCCUGGUAGUCCACGCCGUAAACGAUGGAUACUAGCUGUUGGGAGCAAUUUCAGUGGCUAAGCGAAAGUGAUAAGUAUCCCACCUGGGGAGUACGUUCGCAAGAAUGAAACUCAAAGGAAUUGACGGGGGCCCGCACAAGCGGUGGAGCAUGUGGUUUAAUUCGAUG